GGUGGGUUGGCUCAGUGGUUAAAGCGUAUGUCUCGUAACCGAAAGGUCGCGGGAUCGAAUCCCGCUAGAGGCUG
rnacentral:tRNA from 1 species